GUUCUAUUUAUAUAGAUUAAUAGGGAAAUUGGUGAAAAUCCAAUGCGAUCCCGUCACUGUGAUAAAGGGUUGAUUUUUAUACCACUGGAUAUUUUAUCUGGGAAGGAAAAAUUGACAAUGCUUUUUAGCCAGGAUACCUGCUUUUAUAA
rnacentral:ncRNA from 1 species